GGUGCAAGCGUUACUCGGAAUUACUGGGCGUAAAGCGUGCGUAGGUGGUGCGUUAAGUCUGUCGUGAAAGCCCCGGGCUCAACCUGGGAAUGGCGAUGGAUACUGGCGCGCUAGAGUGCGGUAGAGGAGAGUGGAAUUCCCGGUGUAGCAGUGAAAUGCGUAGAGAUCGGGAGGAACAUCAGUUGCGAAGGCGGCUCUCUGGACCAGCACUGACACUGAGGCACGAAAGCGUGGGGAGCAAACAGG
rnacentral:rRNA from 1 species